rnacentral:rRNA from 1 species
UGGGGAAUAUUGCACAAUGGGCGAAAGCCUGAUGCAGCAACGCCGCGUGAGUGAUGAAGGCCUUCGGGUUGUAAAGCUCUGUCUUUUGGGACGAUAAUGACGGUACCAAAGGAGGAAGCCACGGCUAACUACGUGCCAGCAGCCGCGGUAAUACGUAGGUGGCAAGCGUUGUCCGGAUUUACUGGGCGUAAAGGAUGCGUAGGCGGAUUUUUAAGUGAGAUGUGAAAACCCUAAGCUUAACUUGGGGACUGCAUUUCAUACUGGAAAUCUAGAGUGCGGGAGAGGAGAAUGGAAUUCCUAGUGUAGCGGUGAAAUGCGUAGAGAUUAGGAGGAACACCAGUGGCGAAGGCGAUUCUCUGGACCGUAACUGACGCUGAGGCAUGAAAGCGUGGGUAGCAAACAGGAUUAGAUACCCUGGUAGUCCACGCCGUAAACGAUGAGUACUAGGUGUAGGAGGUAUCGACCCCCUUCUGUGCCGCAGUUAACACAAUAAGUACUCCGCCUGGGAAGUACGAUCGCAAGAUUAAAAC